UAAUUGUGAAUAUUUACUCCCCCGGAACCUCUGUUCUGUUCAUUUCUGUGAAAUCCCUGCCGGCGCUCAGGAUGAGCUAGAACACCCGCUGAGCGUGACGGGCACACGCAUCUCAGUUAGGUGAGCAGAGCCACCAGAGAGUCGCUGUGGUGAGAGCCGGAGGCGCCUGGCCGAGGGCCCUGUGCCCCCUCCUCUGGGUCAGAGGCAGGAGCCCUUCUCCCCGCAGGCAGGUGGGGGACACACACGCGCUGGGCAGCAGGGCCUGACUCGGGUGGCGGCUCACGGACAGCUGACGAGUUGGGAGAGAACUCGCAGGCACAGCCACACGAGGAGCGAGCACGCUCUCACCCGCCUUCCUGCAGGUGUGGGCGGCGGGCAGAUGCGUGAGGAUGGGUUAGAGAUACGACUCCUGUGUGCACUGCGUCCCGCCUGCUGUGCAGGGCAGGCGGGCCGGCCGCUCAGAAUCAAGGACCCCAGUGCCAGCUGCCGUAGGGGCGCCACCGGCCCUCCAGUCUGCUCAGGCGUGAGCUCCGCUUCCUGCCGAAGGCUCGGGUUCUCGGGCCCCGUUUCUGAAACUGGUGGCCUGUGCUGUCCAAAGCAGCGACACACUCGUGUUCGUGUUUGCCAGGAAAGCUGGCUCAGGGUGGUGCCUCCCGACAGCCUGUCACUGCCUUCACAGUCCAGGCCCAGGCCCCGGCGGCUGCAGAGGUGACCCCCCAGGAGAAGUGGACCAGAGAGCUGGCCACCUGGAGGGCUGUGGCCGGGGAGCACGGUCGCAUGAUGCAGAGCUGGAGGAAGGUGUGGGAGAGCUGUAACAAGGACACCUUUUAGCCACCAGGGGGCAGUGCCGCCAAUGCCACCUGCCACCUGCCACGCCCGAGGAGAGGCCCUGGGCCGCGGCUGUCACCUUGCCUGUCCCUGCCGCACGGGCACCGAGCGAAGAGCCCCGACUGGACGUGUGUGACAGCAGCUGGAUUCCUUUUGGAUUAGAUGCUCACCUGUGACAGCUCUAUUGGCAGAAGCAGGAAACCAGGCCGGGAAAGGGCUGCCGAGAGAAACUGGUUAAGGCAGCAGCAUGUGGCCCGGCCGGCGUGGCUCAGUGGUUGAGAGUCAACCUAUGAACCAGGAGGUCACGGUUUGAGUCCCGGUCAGGGCAC